CCAAUUAAGUUGAACACCCCCACAAGGAGUUCUGUGGAAUAGGUCCUAGAGGCCACUGCCCUGAAUUUGAAAGGACUCGUUUAUGCCCUAAUGUUGAUGAGGUUUGAGAAACAACCAUUCUAAAGCAACACGGACUGUGUCUUUCUGUUCAGACCCACUUGGGUUCAUGUCCCGGUGUGUGAACUUGGGAAGCAAUAAUCUCUUGUUUUAAAACAAUGUCUUUGUAAAGCUACGGGAAAUAAAUGAGCUGUCUCUUCCUGCGAUGCCA
rnacentral:lncRNA from 1 species